UAUAUAAUGUUGUUGGCAAAAAUUUGACCCUAGGGCAAGGGUUUAUUGGUUGUAUUACAUUUGGAGACAAAUUUGAUGUUGUAAAUGCAACAAAACGAGUUGGGACAUCAAAAGAUUGCCCUUUGGAUGGCGGGGAAAGAUGCAAUCGCAAGGGUAAGACUGCUGAAUUUUGGGCUGGAUUUUGAUGGAAAUAGUGGGGGAGGUGCGGUGGUUUAGCUCACGACCCCCAUGGAAAGUUAGGGCUUAGAACGGGUCAAAGUCACAUAGUGUACAUUAUAACUGUACAACUCAACCAAUUUUACCCUUUAUUUAAUACAAUUACUACAAAGUUUCUUUCAAAACAUUGCAUUGAAAAAGGGUACUUGACACAGAGAUGAUUGGCUAUCACUGUUUCAAUUUUACAGAAAAAAAAACUUUCUUACGAAGUGUUGACUCUAAGCAACCAAAAAUGUCAACUUUUCACUUUGAUUUAUCAUUGCAACUUUCCCAAGGGGAGGUGCAUGACUUUUCAGGGGAAGUGCAAAAAUUAUAAGGGGAGGUGCAAAACGAUCUCGGGGGAGGUGCGUAUUUCCCCACACCACCCCUCAAAGUCAGGCCAUGAUAUACAUGUUUGUUGUUCUGUUACUUUUUACAAUUUAUCUUUUGUCUAUAAAGAUAUGUGCAGUGACUGGAUAUUUGCUGUAGCUAGCAGUCAAUACAAUAGAUUCGCUUGUUAAAGUGCAGUGUUGUAUGUUUGAAAAUAGGACUGUAUAUUAAUAUUAUGUAACAACCUCGACUUGUUUACGUAUCUAACCUUGAUAUUUAAAGCAUUCUGAGUAUUUUUUCAUCACCUCACAAAUCAAUUAAACUAUUUCAAGAAAUAAACACGUUCUAACACUAGAAGUUUUACUAAAUAAAUCUCUAUUCAAAAAGCUGAAAACGCAUGGCUAAACAAAUAAUAUACAGUAUGGUCAAGUCAGUGGGUCAAGUACAUUUUUAUUAGGGUGGUGCUGGACUUCUUUAGUGGAUGCCAGCCAUCACUAGGUUGGGUAUCCCCCCCCCCCUGCAUGCUCACAGUAAAUCUGCCCCUGCAAUUUGUAAUUGUGCAUGUUAUAAAUAGACAAUUCCCAUUACAGAUUAAUUUUAUAACUAGGCUAGGAGAAGCAAAUAAAUCACCACAGCUAGAAAGAGCAUAUACGAAAUUCUAAAAUGAGUAAAAUUGCAAAGGUUGCGAAAUGUUGUAAAAUGCGGAAAAUAUAGCCUUGCAAAGUUCGCAAAUUUUGUACUUUUGUAUUGUGUGCGGAAAUUGAUACCACAUUUGGGCCGAAAAUCGUAGUAAUUUUCGCAUGCAAUAUACAAAAGUAUAUACAAAAUUUGCAAACUUUGCAAGGCUAUAUUUUCCGCAUUUUACAACAUUUCGCACCCAAAUUUUGCAAUUUAACUCAUUUUAGUAUGCUCUUUCUAGCUAUGAUGCAUGAUUUAUUUGCAUCUCCUUGCUUAGUUUUAAAAUUAGUCCGUAACGGGAAUUGUCAAUUACACACAAAUACAGUAUGUUGUAAUGUACAUGUAUCUCUCUUUGCAGCAUGUCCUGACGGCUAUAAAGGAUACUAUUGUGAAAUUAAUAUUGACGAUUGUGCUUCGUCGCCUUGUCACCAUGCGUCAAGAUGUUUAGACGGGAUAGCAAAUUACACGUGUCAGUGUGGUCCAGCUUGGUCGGGCAGAAAUUGUGACGAACUGAAAAACGAAACAUUAUGCGAUGAUAAUCCAUGUUUACACAACGGCAUUUGUAGCCUUGUAUCGAAUUUUAAUAAUUAUACAUGUACUUGCCGUGUCCCUUAUACCGGUCGGAAUUGUAACGAGACUCUGAAUCCUUGUGGAAGUAUGCCGUGCCAAAAUAACGCAACGUGUACAAAUGUGAGAGACACUGAUUUUUAUUGCAAAUGCCCCAAAGGUAUGUUUAAUGUAUUUUGUCGAGUUAUGUGAAACGCAAAAAGCAUGUGAAAUUGUGACAUGUCAUGGAUGUCUGCAGAUUGUACACACGCAAAAAUAUCACA
rnacentral:lncRNA from 1 species